CGCCGAACGCUAUCAGGAGUGGCUAGCCGAUUGUCGAGCUCGGGAAACUGCGUGUUUACGUAGGCUAGUGCUAAACAUUUUGCAAGUGCUUCAUGAAUAUUUAUUGCAUGAAUAGUUGAAUGUGGCCUUGUGGAACUGGAAUGCAGAGCUCAUGAAGGAGAACAGCAGAAGAUAAUGGUGAAAGGCAACUGGCACAUUGUGAGCUGCCCUAUGGAGUGGAUUACAUGGCAAGGAACUGAGGGAGACCUCUGGGCAACAUCCAUUAAAGAACUGAGGCCCUUAGUCCAACAACCUGGAGGAAGUGAAACCUCCAGCAACCUGUGAGUGACUCUGGCAAAUUCUCCUCCAUCAACACUUGAGGUAUGACUGCAGCCCCAGCCAACAUCCCGACUGCAACAGGAGGGACCUUGAGCCACAGGCACCCAGUUAAAUUGCACCCACAUUGCUGACCCACAGAAACUGUGUGAUAUUUGUUUUAAGCCACUAAGUUUUGGGGUAAUUUGUUACAGCA
rnacentral:lncRNA from 1 species